AAGUCGUAACAAGGUUUCCGUAGGUGAACCUGCGGAAGGAUCAUUAACGAACAAUGGGGCUCGCCCCUUGUCUCACAAACACACCCCCCGUGCACGCUAUCGAAAGGCCGGCUUGUUGGGAGACCCGCGGGCCUGGCCGUUCGUUUCACAAACUCGAGAAUGUCUGUCAGAAUGUCUAUUGGGUGUAACGAUACAAUAAUAUAACUUUCAGCAACGGAUCUCUUGGCUCUC
rnacentral:misc_RNA from 1 species